UACAGAGGUUUCAAGCGUUGUUCGGAUUCAUUGGGCGUAAAGGGUGCGUAGGCGGCGCGGUAAGUCGGGUGUGAAAUCUCGGAGCUUAACUCCGAAACUGCAUUCGAUACUGCCGUGCUUGAGGACUGGAGAGGAGACUGGAAUUUACGGUGUAGCGGUGAAAUGCGUAGAUAUCGUAAGGAAGACCAGUGGCGAAGGCGGGUCUCUGGACAGUUCCUGACGCUGAGGCACGAAGGCCAGGGGAGCAAACGGG
rnacentral:rRNA from 1 species